rnacentral:rRNA from 1 species
UACAGAGGUCUCAAGCGUUGUUCGGAUUCAUUGGGCGUAAAGGGUGCGUAGGCGGCGCGGUAAGUCGGGUGUGAAAUCUCGGAGCUUAACUCCGAAACUGCAUUCGAUACUGCCGGUGCUUGAGGACUGGAGAGGAGACUGGAAUUUACGGUGUAGCGGUGAAAAUGCGUAGAUAUCGUAAGGAAGACCAGUGGCGAAGG